GCGGGCGUGGCGGAAUGGCAGACGCAUCCCGUUUAGGGCGGGACGCCGCAAGGCUUACAGGUUCAAGUCCUGUCGCCCGCACCA
rnacentral:tRNA from 2 species